rnacentral:rRNA from 1 species
GACGAACGCUGGCGGCGUGCUUAACACAUGCAAGUCGAGCGGUAAGGCCCUUUCGGGGGUACGACGAGCGGCGAACGGGUGAGUAACACGUGGGUGACCUGCCCUCAGCUCUGGGAUAAGCCUGGGAAACCGGGUCUAAUACUGGAUAUGACUCCAUGACGCAUGUUGUGGGGUGGAAAGCCUUGUGCGGCUGAGGAUGGGCCCGCGGCCUAUCAGCUUGUUGGUGGGGUGAGGCCUACCAAGGCGACGACGGGUAGCUGGUCUGAGAGGACGGCCAGCCACACUGGAACUGAGACACGGUCCAGACUCCUACGGGAGGCAGCAGUGGGGAAGUAUUGCGCAAUGGGCGAAAGCCUGACGCAGCGACGCCGCGU